UACGAAGGGGGCUAGCGUUGCUCGGAAUUACUGGGCGUAAAGGGAGCGUAGGCGGAUAGUUUAGUCAGAGGUGAAAGCCCAGGGCUCAACCUUGGAAUUGCCUUUGAUACUGGCUAUCUUGAGUACGGAAGAGGUAUGUGGAACUCCGAGUGUAGAGGUGAAAUUCGUAGAUAUUCGGAAGAACACCAGUGGCGAAGGCGACAUACUGGUCCGUUACUGACGCUGACGGCUCGAAAGCGUGGGGAGCAAACAGG
rnacentral:rRNA from 1 species